rnacentral:snRNA from 1 species
GUGCUCGCUUUGGAAGCAUAUAUACCAAAAUUGGAAUACAGAGAUUAGCAUGGCCCCUGCACAAAGAUGACACACAAAUUCAUGAAUUGUUCCAUACUUUU